UGCCAGCCGCCGCGGUAAUACGGAGGGUCCAAGCGUUAUCCGGAUUUAUUGGGUUUAAAGGGUGCGCAGGCGGCCCGGUAAGUCAGUGGUGAAAGUUUGCAGCUUAACUGUAAAAUUGCCAUUGAUACUGUCGGGCUUGAAUAUAGUAGAGGUAGGCGGAAUGUGUAGUGUAGCGGUGAAAUGCUUAGAUAUUACACAGAACACCGAUUGCGAAGGCAGCUUACUAUGCUACGAUUGACGCUGAGGCACGAAAGCGUGGGGAGCGAACAGGAUUAGAUA
rnacentral:rRNA from 1 species